rnacentral:lncRNA from 1 species
ACCAAAGACUCGGAGACGAGAAAGAAAAAUUGAAAAUUUACGGAAAAAUACAAGUAAAUAUUUUUAUCUAAUUGUGGAUAAUUAAAUACUGAUUUGAUGAAUUAAUUUGAUUGUAUAAUAUAGUUAAUAUUAAAUAUGUCGCCUUUACAAUGUUCACUGAAGUAAUGAGUGAAUUACGAUUUCAUUAAAUAAUAAUAAUAAUAAUAAUAAUAAUAAUUGUGUACAGUGCUCAGGUGCACUACAACUCAUCUAAAGUGUAUAAAUAAUCAGGUGUAGUUUCGGCGGAUUUCGGAAAGCAUGAGGGCCUUAAAGGAUGCAGUGUCAUGGCAGUCAACAACUGAUGCAGGCAGUUUAUUCCACGCUUCAGCAACCCUGGCGAUCUUUGCCUAAUUAAUUGUAUAAUUGGCGAUCUUUGCCUAAUUAAUUGUAUAAUUGGAAUUUAGUCUUGCUGAGUUAUUGCAUUGCUCAUUUGUAACCGCUGUGGCUUUCAUGCAUCGACAUACAAGCCACCGAAUUGCUCUCUUAGUUCUGUUGUUCGUUGUUAGGAAUUGUGUAGUUCUGGGGUUCUGUCUGAAUUAUGAUAUUACUGAAGCUACGAAAGAUGCAACAUAGUGAGGGAUGUCUUCAGGUUGCAGAGUGUUGUGUCUUAAGUCUAUGAAACUGUACAUAAUGCAUAUAAAGUAUAUAGGCAAUCUUUCGUCUCUAGUAGACCUUUCCGUCGAUUUCCGUAAAAAAAAUUUUUUUUGUUUACAUAUGGGCUUGCGGCAACUUUUGAAGUAAUGAGAGCGAAAGAGACUAAGAGAAAGCGAUUGUAUGACGAGGGAAGUUCUUUUGAAGUUACCGUGCAUGGCAAGCAUUGAUGUACAUGUGUGUGUGUGUGUUUGAUGGGUGGGUGGGAGACAGACAGUAUGUUGUGUAAGUGAAGUGCUUCUGUUAGUGUGUGUGAAGAGACAGAGAGAGUAAUGUGUGAAAGAGAGAGAUAACUGAAAUUUUUUACUCGGUGUAUUUGUAUAUGUAUGUAUAUUACUUCAAAAGUUCCCGCAAGCCCAUAUGUAAAAAAAAAAAAAAUUUUUACGGAAAUUGACGGAAUGGUCUACUAGAGACGAAAGAUCGCCAGUAUAUAUGUAUAAAGUGCAUUAAGUGAUCAUUGUAUUCUAAUUUCUUUCACUUUUCAAUGAUCAACAGAUGAGUGACUAUCUUUCUAUACAGACAGAAGAAAUGCCACUAAGCAUUUUGCCUGAUACGCUAGCAAUUCUGUUAGUUUGCCACCACCACCACAAUAAUAAUAAUAAAUAGCAGUACCAGGCAGUGGCUCUCAUGGCUUCUGAUCUUAACUGAUUGGAAGUGUUAUCAUGUACAUUGUUUUGUCUUGGUAUUAAAAGAUGGGGAGGCGCAAUGGCCCAGUGGUUAGGGCAGCGGACUCGCGGUCAUAGGAUUGCGGUUUCGAUUCCCAGACCGGACGUUGUGAGUGUUUAUUGAGCGAAAACACCUAAAGCUCCACGAUGCUCCGGCAGGGGAUGGUGCUGAUCCCUGCUGUACUCUUUCACCACAACUCUCUCUCACUCUUACUUCCUGUUUCUGUUGUACCUGUAUUUCAAAGGGCCGGCCUUGUCACUCUCUGUGUCACGCUGAAUAUCCCUGAGAACUACGUUAAGGGUACACGUGUCUGUGGAGUGCUCAGCCACUUACACGUUAAUUUCACGAGCAGGCUGUUCCGUUGAUUCGGAUCAACCGGAACCCUCAUCGUCGUAACCGACGGAGUGCUUCCAUCCAUAUAAAAAGAUGGGCCACAGCAAAUAUUCUGCUCAAUACCACAGAUUUGCUUUGGAAACAUGAGUGUCUCAUUCAACAUCCUUAAGCAACCCCUAUUCAGGGACCUUUUGAAUGAAAUGGGCUACUCAACCUGAAGAAAAUUCUAACUGGGCCCCACCUGCGAGGUCAUGCAUUGUUUAUCUUGAUAUGAGAUCACCAUGUCAUGCACAUAUGGUUGUGAUGCAUGUGCCUGGUGUACCUUUAUCAGACAGGUAGUCAUGAUGGGUAUACUUGGCUUCAUAUAUUUGUACCCCAUGCGUUGUUCUCUCACUCAGUAAUAAUAAUAAUAAUAAUAAUAAUAACCCUUUCUACUAUAGGCACAAGGCCUGAAAUUUGGGGGAAGGGGUUAUGUUGAUUACAUCAACCCCUGUACUCAACUAGUACUUAAUUUAUUGACCCCAAAAGGAUGAAAGGCAAAGUCGACCUUGGCGGAAUUUGAACUCAGAAUGUAGUGAUAGGCGAAAUACCGCUAAGCUAUUUCUUUACUACGCACAAGGGGCUAAACACAGAGGGGACAAACAAGGACAGACAAAGGGAUUAAGUCGAUUCCAGUUUUAGACGCAGCAAAUGAUUUUAGCUCAAAAGAGAGCAUAGGAUUGGUUAAAAUUCGAAAAAUUAAACUACGUUAAACAAACAAAUUACAAUUUUCUCAAGAAAGCCAAGUGAAAAAAAUGUUUUAUUUUGACACAUUCUACCAGUAUACGAAGUUUAAAAGUGUUUAGUUAACUAGAAAUUGUGUUGAAAUCUGGCCUUCAAAGGGAAAAGAUCCAAUAAUUUUUGUUAAACCAAGUAAAUAACACAAAAACACAUAGUAAAGAUCGACUAGUCAUGACUAGCUAGCGCGCAUACUGGGACCACUGUUUGCUAGUAGUACCCUUUAUGCCCUUAUUUUUAUAAGCAUGAAUGUACUCCCUUCUUAUUUAUUUAUGGUUUCAACCUGAAAUAGUAUCUUCUUCCACUCGUCUUUCACCGUAUUUAUUUCCGGUACUUUCUCCGGGGAAUGCCGAGAAUUAAAAAUUUUUGUUCCCGACCGUUUUUUGUUUUACUCAUCUAAUAUUAGUAUUAGGGGUGAUAGACUAUUAAGGAAGUUUUUUAUUUUUAUUUUAAAAAUAUUCUUACCCAUUAUUGGCAUUCUUUCGAUAUAAUAAUAAUAAUAAUAAUAAUAAUGAAAUUAUUGUAUACAGUGCUCAGGUGCCCCCACAACUUGUCAAAAGUGCGUAUAAAGCAUAUGCAGUAAUGUACAAAUGUCUGGGAAGCGAACAAUGUAUGAGUUAGAUACAUGCUUGUGUGUGUAUGGAGGGGAGAAAAUCAGGUGUAGUGUUGGCGAAUCUCAGAAAGCAUGGAAGUUUUGAAGGAUGCCGUGCUCCGACAAUUAACAACUGAUGCCGGCAGUUUGUUCCAUGCUUCAGCAACUCUCAGCGUGAAAAAAUGUUUCCGAAAGUCAUGGGAGUUGUGCUUUUUUCCUGACUUUGUAAAUAUGUCCACGGGUAUUAGAUGGGUGGAGUUUGAAGAGGUGCUCAAAGUUAUUGUUUGUGCGAUGGUUGAUAAUUUUAUGGGUAUCUGCCAAGUCAGCUGCCAGACAUCGGAGUUUCAAUAUGUCUAUGCCCAUAACUCGACGAAAUCAAAACGUUUCACUUCGGGUAUUUCCCUGGAAGCAAAUGACAGUUCGAUUCUGUUUUCUGCUUGGAAAUUUGCAGAUUUUACAUACACAUAUGAAACAGGUUAAGAACAAAUAUGCAAGGCUAUAUAUAUAUGCACAUGCAUAUGUGUGUGUGUAUAUAUACUCUUUUACUCUUUUACUUGUUUCAGUCAUUUUACUGCGGCCAUGCUGGAGCACCGCCUUUAGUCGAGCAAAUCGACCCCGGGACUUAUUCUUUGUAAGCCCACUACUUAUUCUAUCGGUCUCUUUUGCCGAACCGCUAAGUGACGGGGACGUAAACACACCAGCAUCGGUUGUCAAGCAAUGCUAGGGGGACAAACACAGACACACACACACACACACACAUAUAUAUAUAUAUAUAUAUACGACAGGCUUCUUUCAGUUUCCGUCUACCAAAUCCGCUCACAAGGCAUUGGUCGGCCCAGGGGCCAUAGCAGAAGACACUUGCCCAAGAUGCCACGCAGUGGGACUGAACCCGGAACUAUGUGGUUGGUUAGCAAGCUACUUACCACACAGCCACUCCUCCUCCUCCUCAUCAUCAUCGUUUAGCGUCCGCUUUCCAUGCUGGCAUGGGUUGGAUGAUGCAACUGGGGUCUGGGAAGCCAGAAGGCUGCGCCAGGCCCAGUCUGAUCUGGCAAUGUUUCUACGGCUGGAUGCCCUUCUUAACGCCAACCACUCCAUGGGUGUAGUGGGUGCUUUUUACAUGCCACCGGCACAGGUGCCAGGCGAGGCUGGCAAACGGCCACGGUCGGAUGGUUCUUUUUACGUGCCACCGACACGGAGGCCAGGCGAGGCUGGCGAACGGCCACGAUCAGAUGGUGCUUUUUACAUGCCACAUAUAUAUAUGUGUAUACACACACACACACACACACACAUAUGCGACAGACUUCUUUCAGUUUUGGUCUACCAAAUCCACUCUCAUUCUGGUUGUUCUGGGUCUAAUGUAGACAACACUUACACAAGGUGCCAUGCAGUGUGACUGAACCUGAAACCACUUGACCAGAAAGGGAACUUCUUAACCACAUAACCAUUUCUGUGUCUCUAUUAUUGUUAUAGAAAAGUAAUAUAAUGUCCACUGUUGUGUCUCUGCUGUUUUAAGUAUCUUUUAUAUCUUACCAUUUUCUUUCUCUUUUAUUUCAGAAUAUCAGAUGACAUUGGCAUAAUGAUCAUUUCUCCAUCAGGCCCUUCAUCGAUAUUGAAUUGUCUUUUAAAAGACUAAAGGAACAUUUUAUACAGAACAGAUGAUAUAAUACUGUUUCCAUAAAUCUGUGGUGAAUUCCCUCUCUCUCUCUCUUUUGGAGAGGCACUGAGCACAUAUACACACACGGCAGUAACUUCCGCCUACCAAAUUCAAUCACAAAGCUUCGGUCGACUCGGGGCUAUAGCGGAAGACACCUGUCCAAAGUGCCACACAGUGGGACUGAACCCGAAACCAUGUAGCUAGGAAGCAAGCUCCCUAACUACACAGCCAUGCCCAUUGUGGAAAAUUUCAUAUGAACUGGGGUGAACAGCUGUAUUUCUCUACUUUACUCUCUGGAUUGUGUGCAAGAUGGAUUUGUGCAGCAAAUAAAUUCAAGGAAGUUUACAAAGGAGUUUUGCAGUUUUUCAGAUAUCAGUGAUGAUCGCUGUUGAUGGAAUAUAUAACGGAGGGAAAUAUUUGUAAUUGAUAUACUAUCAGAG